AGCGGUCCAGCAGUUCAGGAUAUCGUUGGAAGAGUUCGUUGUAUCCGGCGAUCUUUCGCCCAGGUAACAGGACGGACCACUGAUCACUU
rnacentral:sRNA from 1 species